rnacentral:rRNA from 1 species
AUGUCAUCACCACCAUCGGAGCCGCUUUCUUCUUUUGGAACACCAAACUUUCCCUUUCAGGUCAACUCGCAAGGUACGAGUGGUGAGUCAAGGAUGCCAGGAUAUAAUUUUUUCAGGCAAGCUACAUGUGAUUUUUCGCAACUAAUUGGCAGGGGCCAACUUGGGAAAGUUUACAAGGCACAUCUUCCAACCGGAGAAGUGGUCGCUGUGAAGCUGCUCUAUCAGAUGACAGGGUUUGACGACAAGAGAUUCUCGAAUAAUUGUACACAACUUAUGAGCACCAACCACAAGAAUAUUGUGAGAUUAUUGGGCUAUUCAUAUGAAGAACAUGAAGAAUCACAUGUGCACUAUGGGACAGCCAUAUGUGGUGUAUACAUACGCAGGUUAAUCGGCUUCGAGUAUGUGCCUGGUGGAAAUCUUUCCAAUUUUAUUUCAGAUCAACGUCUUGGAUGGAGUAUACGCUUCAAAAUAAUAAAGGGGGUCUGCGAGGGUUUACAAUACCUUCAUGAAGCUGGCAUUGUGCACUCUAAUCUCACCCCAGGUAAUAUUUUGCUAGAUGGUGAGAAGAUACCAAAAAUCACAGAUUUCGGUUUAUCUCGGAUGUUCAAGCCAGUAAACAAGAGAGCCACAAUGAGUAAAACUAUUUCUUAUGGAUGGUGGGGUAUGAUACGUGAAGGAGUGGUGUCAAAAAGGUCUGACAUAUUUAGCUUGGGUGCUCUAAUUAAAGUUAUAUUGACUGGAAGUACGGAAGAAUCGGACAUUAAUUGCAUGGACGGUCCUGAAUGUGUUGAGCAUGUACACAAAUACUGGAGGAAACGGCUACAAGAGAUAAGGAGAUAUCCCUCAUUUGAAGCAGAUUGCAAACAAGUGAGGGCUUGUAUCGAAAUCGCAGUAGACUGCAUGCACAAUGACCAACAGCAAAGGCCUCUGAUUAACAAUAUCGUUCGUAAACUAUAUGAAGUAGAAGCUAAGGGAGAUUACCCACCAUCACAGAUGGGACAGGGCAUUCAUGGUUUUGAAGUAAGGAAAAUGUCAUUAAAAGAGUUGGAACAGAUCACGAGUAAUUUCUCUGAAAAACUUGGUCAUGAUGACUUCGGUGCUGUUUAUAAGGGAAGGAUUGGAGGUGGGGAAGUGAUAGCUGUGAAGAGAUUCGAUGAGAGAUUAAGAAAACUAGAGGAUCAAUUUGAGAGAGUGGUAAAUCUUAUGAGGCUCAAGCACAAAAAUAUAGUACGACUGAUGGGCUACUGCUACGAGCCAACACAAGUACCAGUUCCUGAUGAAAAGAAUCCAGAAAAGACAAUGUGGUGGAAUAUUAUAGAGAAUUUGGUUUGCUAUGAGUUUUUGCCAAACGGAAGUCUGGACAUGAUAUUAAAUGACAAAUCUUGCAAACUCGAUUGGCAAGCUCGUCAUAAAAUAAUACAUGGCAUUUGUGAGGGGUUACAUCACCUUCACGUGGAAUGCCAAGAUGCGCCCAUUGUCCAUCAGGGUAUAAAACCUACCAAUAUUUUGUUAGAUGAUGGCAUGGUUCCAAAGCUAGGAGAUUUCUACACUUCAAUGGCUGUCACGCCAAGAUGUUACAUAGCACCAGAGUCCAUGGACAACGGUAAAAUUACACUCAAGUCGAAUGUAUACAGUCUGGGUGUUAUGAUACUAGAGAUCUCGACCAGAGAUAAGUGUCGUAAUGAAGAAUCCUCAAGCCGGUCUUAUAUCAAUAAUGUGCUAAAAAGUCGGACGCAAAAUUCCUACGUUGCAUCAAAGUACCCUUCACUUGAAGCGGGUUUCAUCCAACAAGUGGAGAGUUGGAUUAUAAUAGGGCUAAAAUGUGUGGAGAUCCAACCUGAAAGUAGGCCUACUAUAGGGCAAAUAAUGCAUUUUCUUAACACGGAGUCUUCCAAUGCAGGUUUAUACAUUGUAAUCCUUUUUUUCCUGGAUAGUUUUACCACUGGGGGGAAUUCAGACUUUCUUCUGAAAGCACCAUCACCUUAUGGCCUUCUUCAGAAAUGGCUGAUCAUGCAAGUGAACUGGCUGUCCUUGAGAGCAUGUUGA